AGGCAAAUCAUGGGAAAUCAGUGC
rnacentral:siRNA from 1 species